UGGGGAAUAUUGCACAAUGGGCGCAAGCCUGAUGCAGCCAUGCCGCGUGUAUGAAGAAGGCCUUCGGGUUGUAAAGUACUUUCAGCGAGGAGGAAGGCGUUGUGGUUAAUAACCUUGUCGAUUGACGUUACCCGCAGAAGAAGCACCGGCUAACUCCGUGCCAGCAGCCGCGGUAAUACGGAGGGUGCAAGCGUUAAUCGGAAUUACUGGGCGUAAAGCGCACGCAGGCGGUCUGUCAAGUCGGAUGUGAAAUCCCCGGGCUCAACCUGGGAACUGCAUUCGAAACUGGCAGGCUAGAGUCUUGUAGAGGGGGGUAGAAUUCCAGGUGUAGCGGUGAAAUGCGUAGAGAUCUGGAGGAAUACCGGUGGCGAAGGCGGCCCCCUGGACAAAGACUGACGCUCAGGUGCGAAAGCGUGGGGAGCAAACA
rnacentral:rRNA from 1 species